CCCACCUUUCUGUAAAAAAUAAAAUAUAAAAAUAAAAAUAAAAAUAAAAGAUUUAAGUUAUGGAGAGAGUGGAAGAACUUAGGGAAAUUGAAGUGUAAGGUAAGAAGUGAGGUUUGUAAUGAAAACAUGAUUGCAUUUACAGGUACAUGUGCCAAUAUAGUUGGGAGAUUUUCAGUAGGUGGGCCACAUUGUUUAGAACUUUUGGCCUAAAAAUCAGGUUGUUUAACUCCUAGGUAGGCCAUAAUAUGCCAAAAAAAGAAAGAAAAAGAAUUGGCAUAAAAAAGAAGUCAUCUGUGGAUAAAGUGUAAGGAGUACUUUGUUUCUUGUGCCACAAAUUAAAAUCCCGUGGAUAUAGUGUAAUGAGUAUUUUGUGAUUAGGUUCCUUCCACAGUUGUCUUUCUACUCUGGUAUUUAGUGUUUAUUAAUGAGAUCGUCAUCUUAAAAGAAAAAAGAAAAAAAAAAAGAGUGUGUGACUAGGUCCCUGGUCAACAAGACUCAGUUGAGUUAGCUAAUUGAUGUGGUCUGCUCAUUGCAACUUGUGGUCGCUCACAAGCGUGACCUUUUUUAACUCAUUGUUACUGAAGUUGAGAUUUUGAUAAUGCUUUAUGUUUCUGUUCUUGGUUUGUGUAGGGGUCAAUUCGAAGUAUGUAAGCAGAGCUGGAAAUUAUCUAAUAAGUGGUUCAAGCAGCAAGGUUUGGGCAACAAAAUCUGGCACUGUCAUGGUUAUCGUUGUGAAGUGGCUCAACCAGGAAGGUUACCAGGGUCAUAAGGAAUGGUUGGUAGUUUUGCACUGAAGAAGCAAAUGUUGGAUGACAGAAGAUUCUCCAAAAUGCAUCUGAAUUUGCAACGCCUCCUGCAGGAUGAUGGAAUAUAUGAAGCUGUUGCAAGAAGUGACUUUGUCAUUACUAGAGUUGCAUUUUGAAACAACUCUUCAAAGUACUACAUAAAUGACAGUGGAAGUAAUUUUACAGAGGUCACUAAGAAAUUGAAAGGAAAAGGAGUGGGCUUGGACAACAAUCGGUUUUUGAUUCUUUAGGUGGGUGAUUGGCUGAUGGCUGAAAAAGGCCUAUUUACUUGUGAAAAAAAUAACAUACCAUUAAAAUCUAUCUUCUCUUUCAAUUCUUUAUCAUUGAAAUUUCAGGGUAAAGUCGAGCAAAUUUCUCUAAUGAAGCCAAAGGCCAAGAUGAAGAAUGUACCUGGCCAUAUGCGAGUACACACAGACUCACCAAGAUUUGUAUUUUCAGCGUUAUUGUAAUUGUAAUUGUAAUUGAUUGAAUGAAGGAUUGUAAUUGAAUGAAUGAAUGAUUGUAAUUGAAUGAAUGAAUGAUUAUGCA